AUGUUGAUGGUUCUAUUUUGGUUUCUACUGAUCCGUCCGAUCCACAAAUUUGAUCUUGGACGCAUUGCAACAUAUGCUCGUACACUCGUGGAUAAUGAAUUUUAUUUUGCUGAAUCAAUUGGUCAUUCUAUUGUGGAAAACACAAUUGAUGUCUCUCAAGUUUUUCAAAGUCAUCCUGCUUGCUUCUCAUUCUCAAAACCAUUAAACCCAUUCCCUCAAAUUUGA